GUGCCUAUUUUAUGUUGUGGGUUUUCAUGUUUAUUAUGGCAAUAUGUCUUGUUACUAUUUGCUGUUACUUUAAAAUGUUGCCUGACGCUGUAGGGGUUGGGUCAUUUGUGACUCACUUUCCUCCUCAGGUAUAUUACUUAACCUUGUGAAGAGCAUAAAUGCAGGGGAGCCGACCUCGUGAAGGGAGAGUUUGGUGUGGGAAGUAAACAGAGAGGGCCUGUGUCAUCAUGUAGCUAUUCUUCAGGCCGCAGCACCCUUCAAUGUGACCUGUUCUUGAGGGCAACCAUGUGUCAUGGACUUUUGCUGAGAAGAAUUACUAUUUAUAAGCACAAAAAAGUGGAGAAACAGAAAGCCAAAUCUGACACAUUCCACGCAAAACUCUAAAAAUUGACUGGACAAAAUUAUUGGCGCCUUCUCAAAAUUGUAAGAAAUAGUUGCAUUCCAAGUUGGGUGGGUACUCGCUCGGCGGUAUGUACGUUCUCUUCAGAAUCCUAUAGACUAGGGAGAUUACCUUUCCUGUCCCGUAGACACAACAGAAAGAGAGAGAAAUCUUUCAAAAGCGAGGGAAGUCCUCUCUUAGAUCACCAUUGCAUUCGCCCCUGAAGAGUUGGCAUACCCCAACGAAACGUAUCGAGCAUACAUACAUAGAUGCAUGAUGUUCAUACAGAUGAUUUUAUGUUUUUUAUACUGUUUUACUCCUAGAUCCUCAUUAUACCAUCAAGCCCCUCCAGUGGUUUUACUCCACGAUAUGCCAAGUACCAUGGUGUUAAUAUGCAUAUGUAAUUUGUAGCAUGUUUAUGCGAUUUUGUGGAUGCAAUUUUUGUCAUUCAGUAUGCUUUACAUGAUAUCACAAGACAUAAUAAAAUGCUCUUUUCUAAGA